rnacentral:rRNA from 1 species
UACGUAGGGUGCGAGCGUUGCCCGGAUUUAUUGGGCGUAAAGGGCGCGUAGGCGGCUCUGCACGUCCGUUGUGAAAUCGCCCGGCUCAACUGGGCGGGGUCAGCGGAUACGGCGGAGCUUGAGCAAGCUAGGGGGCAAUGGAAUUCCCGGUGUAGUGGUGGAAUGCGUAGAUAUCGGGGGGAACACCAGUGGCGAAGGCGGUUGCCUGGGGCUUUGCUGACGCUGAUGCGCGAAAGCGUGGGGAGCGAUCCGG